UACGUAGGGUGCAAGCGUUAAUCGGAAUUACUGGGCGUAAAGCGUGCGCAGGCGGUUUUGUAAGACUGUCGUGAAAUCCCCGGGCUUAACCUGGGAAUGGCGAUGGUGACUGCAAGGCUAGAGUGUGGCAGAGGGGGGUAGAAUUCCACGUGUAGCAGUGAAAUGCGUAGAGAUGUGGAGGAACACCGAUGGCGAAGGCAGCCCCCUGGGUCAAAACUGACGCUCAUGCACGAAAGCGUGGGGAGCAAACAGG
rnacentral:rRNA from 1 species